rnacentral:lncRNA from 1 species
AAGCAACUAAGGGUAAAUAUAAAAACCUUAGGAAAAAAAAAACUAGAAGAUAAAAAUAAGAUAGAAAAUGGUUGAAAAUGUCAAGUAAAGGCAUUACACAGAUAGAAAAUGCAAAAAGCUAAGACAACUAUUAGAUACAGACAUACUUAUUAAAGCAAAAAGAGGGAAUUGGAAAGGGGUAUAUAUCCCCCAAAGAUAAACUUAAAAUAACCCUUUUUACCCUAAACUUUUUAAAAUUUAGAUUCAUCAGGACUUAAGUGCUGCGGAAAGGCAUAUGUAUCCAAAAAAUGUACAUAAGCCUAAAGUACUUUGGAAAGAUAUUCUAAC